GAUGAACGCUGGCGGCGUGCCUAAUACAUGCAAGUCGAACGCUUCACUUCGGUGAAGAGUGGCGAACGGGUGAGUAAUACAUAAGUAACCUGGCAUCUACAGGGGGAUAACUGAUGGAAACGUCAGCUAAGACCGCAUAGGUGUAGAGAUCGCAUGAACUCUAUAUGAAAAGUGCUACGGGACUGGUAGAUGAUGGACUUAUGGCGCAUUAGCUUGUUGGUAGGGUAACGGCCUACCAAGGCGACGAUGCGUAGCCGACCUGAGAGGGUGACCGGCCACACUGGGACUGAGACACGGCCCAGACUCCUACGGGAGGCAGCAGUAGGGAAUUUUCGGCAAUGGGGGAAACCCUGACCGAGCAACGCCGCGUGAAGGAAGAAGUAAUUCGUUAUGUAAACUUCUGUCAUAGAGGAAGAACGGUGGAUAUAGGGAAUGAUAUCCAAGUGACGGCACUCUAUAAGAAAGCCACGGCUAACUACGUG
rnacentral:rRNA from 1 species